GACGAACGCUGGCGGCGUGCUUAACACAUGCAAGUCGAACGAAGAGCGAUGGAAGCUUGCUUCUAUCAAUCUUAGUGGCGAACGGGUGAGUAACGCGUAAUCAACCUGCCCUUCAGAGGGGGACAACAGUUGGAAACGACUGCUAAUACCGCAUACGAUCUAACCUCGGCAUCGAGGAUAGAUGAAAGGUGGCCUCUACAUGUAAGCUAUCACUGAAGGAGGGGAUUGCGUCUGAUUAGCUAGUUGGAGGGGUAACGGCCCACCAAGGCGAUGAUCAGUAGCCGGUCUGAGAGGAUGAACGGCCACAUUGGGACUGAGACACGGCCCAGACUCCUACGGGAGGCAGCAGUGGGGAAUCUUCCGCAAUGGACGAAAGUCUGACGGAACAACGCCGCGUGAGUGAUGACGGCCUUCGGGUUGUAAAGCUCUGUUAAUCGGGACGAAAGGCCUUCUUGCGAAUAGUUAGAAGGAUUGACGGUACCGGAAUAGAAAGCCACGGCUAACUACGUG
rnacentral:rRNA from 1 species